UAGUCGUUCAAAAUUUAUGUCCGGAUAAUGUUUCAAAACGUAAAAUAAGAUAACCUUGACAUCCCAAGUUUCUUCUGUGUGUUCCGGAAGUAAUAUUUCGGACAAAUUUAUAUUAAAUUUAGAUUUGAGUAUAUAUUGGGGACGAUUCAAGAUCUACUACAAAGUGAGACGUCAUUCGAAUAAUGAGAAAAUCAGAGUUAUGUGAAUUAUUAUGGUCGAUUUUGGAAAUCAUAUCGAGCGAUUGAGUGCUGUAGAAAUUUAUUAAUUCAUUUAUAUCAACAGUUGACAAGACAGAUGUGGUGCUGGCGAAAGAUGCUAGGAUUUCCCUGGACAGCACAUCGCACCAACGUGUCGAUCCUCCAAGAACUCCAGAUAAAGACGAGGCUUUCUACCAUCUGCCUACGUAGAGUUCUGGAAUACUUUGGCCACAUUGCAAGAAAGGAUCACGGCAGCUUGGAGAAGCUAAUGGUGACUGGCAAGGUGAACGGAAGAAGACCACGAGGAAUUGUGACAGAAAUGGCAGAUUCAAAGAGUGAGCAAUGAACGGCUAGUGUCUUUGCUGCUGCAGAAGAAUACAGGAAUUCUUAGAAUUAUGUUCAGCAACACAACUUAUUGCCCCAAGUGCCAUUGUUUUUUCAUUAAACUAUAUAUUAUAUUUGAAAUAAAUUUUGAAAGUUUAAACAAAUUAAAUGUUUUGUAUAUAACUACAGCUUUUCUUCUGGUAAAUUCCAUAAUUCCAAAUUCCAUAUCUUGACCAAAUUACUUUUUUUCAUUCAUUAUCAAUUUUAAGAUUUUGGUAGACACAUUGGAGAAUAAUAUUUUGCAAAUUCAGUUUCGCUACUUAUUCUUAGUUUUUAUUUUGUUAUCGAUCUAAUUGUCAUUUCAGUUCAAUUACUAUUCAAUUUGUGUUACCUACUUUGUGAUUUUUAUUAUUUUUAUACUACUUGUUAUGAGUAAUUAGUAAAAAAGUCCCAUAAAGGGGAUAUUUUAGAAU